GGCCAGACUCCUACGGGAGGCAGCAGUGAGGAAUAUUGGUCAAUGGGCGAGAGCCUGAACCAGCCAAGUCGCGUGAGGGAGUACUGCCCUAUGGGUUGUAAACCUCUUUUGUCGGGGAGCAAAAAGGCCUCGUGAGGCCACAAGUGAGAGUACCCGAAGAAAAAGCAUCGGCUAACUCCGUGCCAGCAGCCGCGGUAAUACGGAGGAUGCGAGCGUUAUCCGGAUUUAUUGGGUUUAAAGGGUGCGUAGGCGGAAUGCCAAGUCAGCGGUAAAAUCGCGGGGCUCAACCUCGCUCCGCCGUUGAAACUGGCGUUCUUGAGUGGGCGAGAAGUAUGCGGAAUGCGUGGUGUAGCGGUGAAAUGCAUAGAUAUCACGCAGAACUCCGAUUGCGAAGGCAGCAUACCGGCGCCCAACUGACGCUGAAGCACGAAAGCGUGGGUAUCGAACAGGAUUAGAUACCCCGGUAUAG
rnacentral:rRNA from 1 species